rnacentral:lncRNA from 1 species
AAUUCUUUCAUUACACAGGAUACGUUCUCCAUGGCCAACAAUAAGGUUGUGAUAACUAAUUAGGGACAACAACAGGAGACAAAAGCCAAGACAGAAAAGGGCUAAAAGGGUACAAGCUCUUUCAAAUUCUUUUCAAUUCCUUAACGUCACAUGGAUGUCAAUAUCAUACGUCGUCAAUAUCAAACUUCACAUUAUAGUGACUUUUCACAAAUCUGGGAGAAAAAUGUUAUUUGCAGCCAAGCCUGGAAAUGCAUACAUCUGGCAAUAUUAUUAUCAUUUAACAUCCCACUUUGAACUGACUUCAUGAAUUCAAGACGGAGCAACUUGCCGCUGUACUUCAACCUUCUUCCCAGUCAAUCUCAUCUUCCUCGUCGUCGCCAGAUUCUGGGGCCUCAGCAUUCAAAUCCACAAACUUAUAUGGCUCCUCCGAUGUAUUCCCUGC